CAGUACUCACUCCUGUAGCUUAGAAGGACUUUGAGUGACCCAGAGCAGCAGUGACCGCGGACUUUGGGUUCUUGGGGCAGUGUUUGAGUGCUCAGAGCCUUUCAGUUAAUGACAAUUUAGCCUCACCUCCACAAACCGUGCUGUGAUAAUUGUGUGAGUGCUCCACAAUCAGAGCUGCUUAAUGAGGAGUCAGGAGCUCCUGGAGGAUGCCCCCAGGGAUCUGGUGGGAUUCUCCCAGCAGUCUCUGGCCCUGGAUUAUUUCCAGCUGCACUGGGGCACGGGGCAAUGCUUUCUAAGUUCCAUCAGGGUUCACAAAAGCACCUGGUCCAAGGCAAGAGACCUCCCCAGUACUGAAAAAUGCAGUAGCAGAGGCACCUGGGUUUGCCCUGCCCAGCUCACACGGCUGCCCUGCAUGCAGAGUUCUGUGCAUGCUGGGGAGGGAUGCAUGCUCUGCUGCAAGACACGCCUGGAAACAACUGAUGCCCCCAGGGCCUUCCUGCACUGCAGAUAUUGCACAGGGACGGGACCACAAAGGAAACCAGUAGGAAGAUCCCAGUGGAACAACACUCACAAAAUGGUUUCACCAGCCUGGGCUUUUGGGAAGGGCUUUUGCAUCUCGAGGGGAGUUCCAGAUCACUUUUAUAUCAGGACUGACCUGUCAAGUUUUACCUAACCCCAUAAAAGUAAUGCAGGAGUAAUUAAAAGUCUCUGUUGUUCAUCUUUCUGCCUCUCCCACCAUGCUGCUGACAUUUCCAUUUCUCUUGGCUAAUUAGUCUUGAAUUUUGUUGUUUUAAAAUACCCUUUUGUUAAGUUUUUAAUUUGUAAGAAAAAUAAUUAUAGGGAAUUCUUUUACUGUUUCUAUGUCUG